rnacentral:rRNA from 1 species
ACCUGCCCUAUGAUUUUAAAAUUAAAUGGCCGCGAUAUUUUGAUCGUGCAAAGGUAGCAUAAUCAUUAGUUUCUUAAUUAGGAACUGGAAUGAAAGGUUGAACGAGAAAAAAACUGUCUCAAUUUAAUUUAAUUAGAAUUUUAUUUUUGAGUAAAAAAGCUUAAAUAAUUUUAAAAGACGAGAAGACCCUAUAGAGUUUAAUAUUUAAUAAAUUUUAAAAAAUAUAUAGUAUAUAAUUUUUUAUUUUUUAUAGAAUAUUUAGUUGGGGUGACUAUAAAAUUGAAUAAACUUUUUUUAAUUUUAAACAUUGAUAUAUGAAUAAUUGAUCCAUAAAUUAUGAUUAAAAGAUUAA